CAAAUGGCCCUUUUAAGGGCCACAAAUCACUUUCAAAAUGAAGGAAU
rfam:Melipona quadrifasciata isolate 0111107301 unplaced genomic scaffold scaffold38, whole genome shotgun sequence.